rnacentral:rRNA from 1 species
GAUGAACGCUAGCGAUAGGCUUAACACAUGCAAGUCGAGGGGCAUCACGGUGUAGCAAUACACUGGUGGCGACCGGCGCACGGGUGAGUAACACGUAUCCAAUCUACCCAUAACUCUGGGAUAGCCCGUCGAAAGGCGGAUUAAUACCGGAUAACACAGGGACACCGCAUGGUGAUAUUUGUUAAAGAUUUAUUGGUUAUGGAUGAGGAUGCGUUCCAUUAGGUAGUUGGUAGGGUAACGGCCUACCAAGCCUGCGAUGGAUAGGGGAACUGAGAGGUUUAUCCCCCACACUGGUACUGAGACACGGACCAGACUCCUAAGGGAGGCAGCAGUGAGGAAUAUUGGUCAAUGGGCGAGAGCCUGAACCAGCCAAAUCGCGUGAAGGAAGAAGGCCUUCGGGUUGUAAAGCUCUUUCGCAAGGGAAGAAAACUUAACCUCUAACAUAGGUUGAGGCUGACGGUACCUUGAUAAGAAGCACCGGCUAACUACGUGCCAGCCGCCGCAGUAA